rnacentral:lncRNA from 1 species
AUGACUCUUCAUUUUGCACAAGCUGUUUCUUCCACCUGGAAUGCACUCUCCGGAUCACUCCUGCAAGGAGAGAAUACCGGUGCUGCUGUGCUUCUGGCCUGUGCUGCUUUGCUGUCUUACUACACAUUAGAACCCUGUAAAUUUUCCAAGAUCACCAAGGUGGUAAGUGUUGAUAUUCAAACCCUAGUCUUUUUUUAUUCCAAAUCUUGUGUUUUAAUCCCAAUCCUCAGGGGUUGCUGAAAGAUGAUUGGAUCAAAGUAUUCAUCCAACUAAAAACAUCAUUUCA